AUGGAUUCCAGCCUCUGAAUUCGAAGCAAGAAUUGAAGCAACUGUUUUAACGCCACCAAAUUGUUUCAGAGACUCCAAGUCUUUUUCCUUCACAAUUCGAGGGAUAGAUUCUCGAAGUAACUGUUCAUUAGCAGAAUGGAUGACAAUGGUACGUAGAGAUUUUUUCUUGAGAGAAAUGAAAAUGCCAACAAUUACAAGCCUGGAUCGACGCCAGAGACGAUCAUAUUUUCCAGAAAAAGAGGUGGUGGUGGUGCCGGUGAAGAGUAAGGUAGCACCAAGAGAAAU
rnacentral:misc_RNA from 1 species